rnacentral:lncRNA from 1 species
AAAGCCGUUCACUUCAGUACAUACCAGGAGGAGAUUAUGAAAACAUUUUCAAAUCAGUCUUCUCCUAUUCUAGAAACAUUAUAAAAAAUAAAAAAAUGGAGAUAAAUGGUCUAGCUUGAGUGCUUGUCAUUGACCUCUAAAUUCUCUAUACAUGACAAUGCACAAUGAAAAUUUUGAGAAGGUAGCUAAAUUCUUUGUCAGAUCAAGCUAAUAUAGAAAUAUGAGAUCCUACCAGUAAUGUGUGCGUACAUUUUCAGAAGUUAAGGAGCUUGUUCCAAGGCCACAUCUGUAAGUAAGCCAACUGAAAAACCACAAUGUAUCUUUUUUAGGAGACACUAACAAAUCACUUGCAAGCAAUAAACAGUGCUGCACGUGCCUUCCAAAGCUUAUUAGGAGUAAGACAACUUCAAAUAUCGUAUGUAGAAGUCUUAAUGCAUUUCCUAUUGUUUUAUUGUUUCCUAUGGAAGUCACCUCAUCAAAGAAAAAUAUCUGAUACAUUAUUCAAAGAGAAAAUAGGUCAUGUUGGAUAUUGAUUGGUUAAUAAAGGGAGUAGCAGUAGCAACUACUUCUGUGGUAAUUCUUAAACAUGGCAAAGAAAGUUCAGCGAGCAGGUCAUACUUUGGGACUUAAGGCUAGAGCAUUAGGGCUUUGACCACUAGGCCAGGGUUAGUAACUCCAUUUCAAUCAUAAACAGGAAUCUACUAAUAUAUGCUGUUCCAAUAUGCAGUUUAAAUAUGCAAGGGUUAGUCUGACAAAGUUCAUGUUUGAGUGCUGCUCUGUCAACAUUAGAUACACACAUUUCUUGUUUAAUUUAGCUACAAUAAAGCAAAACCAUUUUUACUUCAUGCAGAGAAAAAAAGAGAAUUUGCUAGGUGAAGCAUAUGCAGUAUCAGACAAACCGAUCAUGGAGGCAGACAACAAAGUCCAUCCAGUACCUGAGGUUGAAAGAACUUCAGAGGUUGAAAAUGUUAAGGAUCCCAUUCAAGGUAACAACGGAAAAACUGAGGGUGAAAAUAUUUUUGAAUCACCCUCAGUUGCCAAGGCUGUUGAAGAAAUUAGCAGUUCAAUGGAAGUCCAUGUGUCAGUCGAUACACCAAACAAGUCAGGCGAAGAGAUGUCAGGGAUUUCAUUCCACCUUGGGGAGAAAACAGAAGACCAAAAAGUAGAAAUCAGCUCAAAUGAAAAUAUUUGUUCAAACGGAUACACACAAAAUGUAAAAGAAUCAGCAACUAGCUCGGACAAGGAUGAGGGAUGCAUGACACAAGAAAAACCCAACGGAGAUUUGACAAAGACAAUCUCUAGUCAGAUUGUACACAUGCUAAACUAUAAAGAGAGUUCCAUAGGACAUUUACGAGAGGAUACAACAGAAAAAGAAAAAGUUUGUCAUGAAGAUGACAGCACAGAGCAUGUACCUGAUACCGACAAGGGAAGAGACUCAUGUGAAACAAUCUUUGAAGGAAAAGAAGAAAAAGAGACUAUGUCAUCCAUUUUAGAAAGAACAGAAGGGACAAACGCUGAAGCAAUCAAAUCACCUGGUGACACGAAGGAUGAGAAAGCACUCAAAGAUGAGAAUGACUACAAUGAUGAUAGAAGUAUUUUCAUCUCCCCCCAAACAGAGUGCCAAACAGGAGAGGAUGAGAAAAAAGAGACAGGAGAUGGAGAGGGUGCUAGGAAUCUGCUUGUUAACCCAUUUGUUAAUGUUGUAGAAGAAACCAGGUUAGAUGAUGCUGAAUCAGAUACGAGCAGGAAACAUGGGGACAACUCAAUUGAGAAUGGAAACCAAGAAGCACAUCAGUUUAAUGAAAUAAUAAUAAAUACAACAUCCAAGGACAUUGAUGAUAUUCAGAGCUCAGACAUAUUGAUAUCUUCGUUUACAGAAGAAAGAGAGGACAUAGCCCCCAAAGAAGAUACCAAUUCUGCUCCAUUAAGAGACGUCAUCGGAACUGUCUCAGAGAAUGAUGCCAACACGAGCCAGCAUGAAGAAGAAAACCAAACCAAGAUGUUUGAGAAUGCUGCUAUAAUUGAUCGCAGAGCAAGUAAAGCAAAUGAGUCUGAAAAAAAACAUGUCCAAAUUGUUGAUUCACAGGUAGCCUGCGAGGAAAAUAUGCAAAGGAAAACUGACCAGCUGGACAUGCCAGAAGGCUCAAAAAGAGAAAGUAGAGAUGACGAAGCAUCAGAAAUUGCAGCAGAAGGGCAGGAAAUUGCUGAAAUUCCAAAAGAUAACAAGUCAAAUGACAUCUUUUUGGAAAAUGAAGUGGAAAAGAAUCUCACUGAACUUUUGCUUGUCACUGGUGACGAGAUUGGAAACUCAUCUUUCGGGGAACUUAUAGAGACAACAUCCGACCAUAAGCUUGAUACAGCCACCAGUUCAGAAGAUAUCCAUGGUGGUUUGAAGGGAAAAUGCAACAUGGAUGACAAUAAGGAAGAGGUAACUCUCCUGGAAAAGGUGAGGAUCAAGCAUUGUUACAUAAUUUAUCCGUCCUAUUAGUUCUAUAUGUGCAAGGAAUUUACAUCUGCUUAUCUUUUGAAAAACUAAGUGAAACUUUAAAUUCUUCUUGCAGAAUAUGCCAGUUGUAGACUCGAACGACAAGACAAACAAUGAAAUUUCAUGCAAUACCAAUCAUGAGGCUGUUGACUAUCCAGAAGUUGAGGGAAAACCUGAAGAACCAGCAGUUGAAGAAAAACAUGAAGAACCAACUGUUGAAGAGAAACCUAGAGAACUAGCGGUUACGGAGAAACAUGAAGAACCAGCGAUUGAGGAAAAACCUGAAAAACCAGCUGUGGAAGAAAAACUUGAAGAACCAGAGGUCGAGGAGAAACAUGAAAAACCAGCAGCUGAAGAGAAACCUAAAGAACUAGUAGUUGAAGAAAAAGCUGAAGAACCAACACGGGAAGAAACACCGGAAGAACUAGAAUUUGAAGAGAAACCUGAAGAACCAACUGUUGAAGAAACACCUGAACAAUUAGCAGUUGAAGAGAAAUCUGAAAAACCAGUGGUUAAAGAGGAGAAAUCUGAAAAGGUAACUCUCUUGGAAAAGGUGAGGAUCAAGCACUAUCACAAAGUUUAUCCAUCCUAUUAGUUUUGUACGUGCAAAGAUUCAUAUCUACUUAUCUAUUGAAAGAUUAAGUGAAACUUUAAAUUCUUCUUGCAGAAUAUGUCAGUUGUAGAUUUCAAUGACAAGACUAACAGUGAAAUUCCAUGCAAUACCAACAAUGAUGUUGCCGACUAUGUAUCAGUUGAGGCAAACCUUGAAGAACCAGUAGUUGAAGAAAAACCUGAAGAACCAACGGUUGAGAAGAAACCUGAAGAACCAGCUGUUGAAGAGAAAUCUGAAAAACCAUCAAUUGAGGAGAAACGUGAAGCACCAGCAUUUGAG